GCAAGGCAGAAAGCAUGGGAGGAGGCAAGCCCUGCCCUACCACAGUAGGUGUGGACACCAUUCUCGGGUAUUCAGGGCCUUCAGGCUGGCUGUCCAGCUGUCAUGUCAGAGAACAAGGAAGGCAUCCUCUUCCAGGGUCACAGGACCUCUGACUGCAAAUCCACCUGAGCCACACUUCUCAGCCACAUUGCCUUGCUGAUCCCAGCAAUGCCCAGUCCAAUGAACAGUGAUGUCAUAUUGUUUGGGUUGGGAUCAUUCCUGAACCAUGAAACAGUUAAGAAAUAUCCUGCCCCACUGGCUGCCAGGCUCAUAAAGGUGGACCCACGUGUACUUCCUUCUUGUUCCAAGACGCACCAGCUCAUGCAUUUGCUCACACCCAGAGGGAGAGACAGCACAGGCCUGCCACCUCCCAUGCAAAUCACCCCCAGGAGCGCAGCUGGGCUCCUCCCGCUGCUCCUGGGCAAUGCUCCUGGGCAGACCUUGUACAAGAUGCCAUCUAGGGCGCUGUGUAUUUUUCCUCAUUGUGGCUCUUUUGACCGACGCUGUGGGCCUGAUCCUUUUGCUGCUGGGGAUCUUUGCCACACUAAACUACUGGGACUUCUUGGUCUACACAGGGGCUCUGAUCCUGGCCCUGAGCCUACUGUUCUGGCUUGCCUGGUAUUCCAUCAAUAUCGAGGUGCCUCUUGAGAAGCUGGACUGUUAGUGUGGCCAUGGAUAGGAGAGAUGCAGGUGGUAUAUGCAGCUGUGAACUUGGGGCCACCUGGACAUGAAGCCCCCCUCCCCCCACUGAAUGCCCCACUGGGACCAGCCCAGGUCUGUCUAAUGCAGAAGAUCCAAAUCAAGACGGGCUCUCAAUGCAGCACAUCCCUGAGUGCAUCCGGGAGGGACCCAGACGCUGCAAUGAUGAAGCUUUCACAUCACCCACAGGGACAGCCACAAAUGACUGUGACCACUACCAGGGCUCUAUCGGGAGCCCAAGCACCCUGCACCAAACCGCUGAGACAGCUGCCACCAUUCCGGAAGUUUGUGAGGGACCAAGAAGCCAGGAAGUUCCACCAGCGAGGCUUUUAAAGGGACCACUCUACUAAAGGCUUCGAUACCAAGGAAGCCUCUGGCCAAAGUUCUUCCAAAGAACUGCCCAUUGGAAUCAAGCACGGACACCCAACAGGGGUCUCUCAUGAACAUGCAUCAUGGAGUGCUGCUGCCAUGUCCCUCUGACGUUCACUAGACUCUGAGCCCCUGGCUCCUCUUCAUCCCCAUCACUCAGGGGACACACAGAAGCAGAUUCCAACAUGGAGACGGAACCGUGAAUGCACAGCUAAAGUGCACACAAGGGGACUCCCCUCACUGAUGAACAUGCUGGCACUCUUCACACAGGCCUAGGUGCAGAGCCAGGCUCGGGGCUGCUCACACUGAGCUUCAGGUAGCCCGAAACCUUCAGGCAAUUUUUUUUUAUUAUUUUGACAAGCACUCUAGGCCUCUGCUGUCUGUGUGUUGUUUGUGACUUCAAGGAGAAGACUGCAUUUCUAGCCUAAAUUACAUGUCGUCCAAUACAGCCUGACUCCAGUAUCUACUGGAGACCACCAUUCCUGGGCUGAUAGGAGAGGUGUGCUCUGUUUGGUAACUCAGGCUGAGCUGCUCCACUAAUUUAUAUUUUCCAUGGUCUGAUUUUGCACUUUGUAUUUAUAUUAUGCCCUAAAUGUACAUGUUUCCUUUAAGCUGUCUCAUAGCUUUUAUGGUAUGGGGCAGUUGCUUAAAUAAAGAAAUGGCUGUGUUGUUAUGUGA